UGAUUAUAUAGUAUACUAUAUACAGCACGGUACAGACCAAACAUUGAAUUGUUUAUCACAGUCAUUUCAACAUAUAGUAUGCAUUCAAGCAGGGACCAUACCACCAUAAAUCGUCUUUUAAUCUCCACGACUCCACGUAUUGGGGCGGUGGGGGGGGGGGGUUAGGCUGGCUAUUUAUGGGAAUGAAUAGUGAAAAGAGGUGGGGUUUUAGCAAUUGACAUGAAUAUACAAUUACCUAAAAAAAUACUACUUUAAUAGUUGGUCUGUCAUAAAGUCAUAAACUGAGUAUAAACUGAGUUUAUAGUGAUCUAAUGUAUUUUCAUGUGCCUGGGGAGGGCAUGUGGGGAGGUCUAGUCUCCAGAACUAAAAUAUUUAAAAUAUGUAUUUACCUUAUAUCGCGUCGUAAAUUCUUUAAUUAUUGGCAUGCAAGGAAGAUAUUACAAGACAGCUAGAAUUUUGAAGAUGGAAUUAAGAGUUUCAGUCGAAAAACAGAGAUACAGGAUUAUUUGAACUGGAUUGUUCACAUUAUUGAGAUCAGUGCGUUCAGUCAAUCGCGUUGCCAAAUAUGGGCUCCCAUAAGGCUUAGCGAGCACACUCCGAGCGCGUCCUUUGGAAAUUUUAUUUUAACGUCGGUUGAUAUAGCCAAGAUUUCUUAACAUAUUGAAGAAAAUAAGAAGUAAUACUCCAAUUUUCGAAGAUAAAGACAAUAAUUUUAAAUGUAAGUGUUCAACUAUGUCAAUAUUUUUAAGUUUCGUGUGUAAAUAUGUGCCAUAAAUAGUAAUAUAUUCAUGUAUAUUUUAACCGCCGUGCGUUGGCCGCAUGU